ACACAUGCAAGUCGAACGCAGUAGCAAUACUGAGUGGCAAACGGGUGAGUAUAAUGUGGGAAUCUGCCUUUUGGUUCGGAAUAACACGAGGAAACUUGUGCUAAUACCGCAUACGUCCUACGGGAGAAAGCAGGGGACCUUCGGGCCUUGCGCUAUUAGAUGAGCCCGCAUUUGAUUAGCUAGUUGGUGAGGUAAUGGCUCACCAAGACAAUGAUCAAUAGCUGAUCUGAGAGGAUGAUCAGCCACACUGGGACUGAGACACGGCCCAGACUCC
rnacentral:rRNA from 1 species